UACGGAGGGAGCUAGCGUUGUUCGGAAUUACUGGGCGUAAAGCGCGCGUAGGCGGCUUUGUAAGUUAGAGGUGAAAGCCCGGGGCUCAACCCCGGAAUUGCCUUUAAGACUGCAUCGCUUGAAUCCGGGAGAGGUGAGUGGAAUUCCGAGUGUAGAGGUGAAAUUCGUAGAUAUUCGGAAGAACACCAGUGGCGAAGGCGGCUCACUGGACCGGUAUUGACGCUGAGACACGACGGCGUGGGGAGCAAACCGG
rnacentral:rRNA from 1 species